rnacentral:rRNA from 1 species
GUCCACACCGUAAACGAUGGAUACUAGGUGUCCGGGGAUUCGUUCCUGGGUGCCCAAGGGAAACCGAUAAGUAUCCCACCUGGGGAGUACGUUCGCAAGGAUGAAACUCAAAAGGAAUUGACGGGGGCCCGCACAAGCGGUGGAGCAUGUGGUUUAAUUCGAUGAUACGCGAGGAACCUUACCUGGGCUAGAAUGCCCCUGACCGCCCGUGAAAAGCGGGUUUUCCUUCGGGGACAGGGUGCAAGGUGCUGCAUGGUUGUCGU